rnacentral:lncRNA from 1 species
CUUCUGUUUGUGCCACGGAAACCGUUUCUUACGGCACCUCUCUGGAAAUCCAGAACCUCCUGGAUCUGCGGAGAAAAUGAGAGAAACCGGACGUCGAAUCUUCGUCGGGGUGAACCAAACGGGAGCCUCGAACAUACAGGGAAUGGGAGGGCUGAGAGAACCACGAAACCACAUCGUAGAUUUUUGACGAUUCCCUUUCUGGUUCGUAGACCGGGGGUUCCGCAGCCGCCGCUGAAGCACCGUCUCUCUCACGCCGUUAAAGCGCCUUCGUAACUUAUCCUGGCGCUUUCAACCCCGUAUAAUCCUCUGUCAACCUGGAGGGCGAAGGCGAUGCAAAAAAACAGGGGAUACCCAAAACGGUUUUGGAUGAACAACUGAGCAAAAUCAGAUGUCUUUUCCUAGGCUGCAUUUCACACUCCGGGGAUGGGUAAACGAAACGGUCCCCAUGCCAUCGCGAUCCGCCGCUUUCAUCUUUCCGGUGCGUGGAGAAAGCCCCGGUCCUUUUUCCACGUUCGGACCAGAGAGGAACAUCGCUGUGUGAUGAUUUGGGGAGGGAAACGCCAGGUUUCCGCGAGGUACGGCGCCAAGGGCUGUCAAGCAGGAACCUGAACGGAGGAAACCCCUGAAACGAAAGUGUCUUCCGUUCAAAGUCCCCAGCAAAAACGCGGACGUCGUGCGAAGUGUACUCUACGCACAUUGGCAGCACAACGGUUCCGACAGAGUGCAUCUGGGAAACAGGUGAAGAUAUGAUGCUAUUUUGUGCCCCGUUUAGUUCACCACAAACUCGGUACUUAAUACAGUUUCUAUGACUGCG